rnacentral:rRNA from 1 species
GAUGAACGCUAGCGGGAGGCUUAACACAUGCAAGCCGGGCGGUAUAAGUAGCUUGCUACUUAGAGAGCGGCGCACGGGUGCGUAACGCGUAUGUAACUUGCCCUAAUCAACGGGAUAGCCCUUCGAAAGGGGGAUUAAUACCGUAUAAUAUAUGAUAUGGCAUCGUAUUGUAUUGAAAGAUUUAUUGGAUUAGGAUAGACAUGCGUAGGAUUAGCUAGUUGGUAAGGUAACGG